GGGAAUUUGAAACUAACAAUAUCAUAACACUGUAAAAGUUUUAGCAAAAUAAAAACAGAGAUGGCAAAAAUUAACUAGAAACCUCCCAAAACCAAAUAUGGUCUUUAAGCAAAACACCGAAAGGACACUAACAAAAACAUUAAUUCAAUUACCGUAAAUGGUAAUCCAUAGUAUUGAAGAUUGAAAUCAACGGUAAGAUUUCUGGAACCUAGAACGAGCACCACGACCACCAAACUUCUUAGGCUCACAACGCCUAGGAUCAGCAACAAGGAGAGUCCUAUCAUAGCGAAUGAGAAUAUCCUUAAUCUCCUUCUUCUGCUGCUCAUCCACAAACUUCUGGUAAAACGCAACAAGUGCCUUUGCAAUUGACUGACGGAUAGCGUAGAUCUGAGAAGUGUGACCACCUCCCUUCACACGGAUACGCAUGUCAACUCCGGCGAAACGAUGACGUCCUAAGAGAAGGAUUGGUUCAAAGGCCUUGUACCGGAGGAUCUCCGGCUGAACAAGCUCGAUUGGGACACCGUUAAUCUUGAUCAAACCACGCCCACGCUUGCAGUGAGUCACCGCCACUGCCGUCUUCUUCCUCCCGAAGCAUUGGACGGAUUCCACCGUAGCUGCGGCUGCUUCUUGCUUCUGCAUUUUUG
rnacentral:misc_RNA from 1 species